CCUACGAGUGGCAGCAGUGGGGAAUAUUGGACAAUGGGGGGAACCCUGAUCCAGCCAUGCCGCGUGUGUGAAGAAGGCCCUCGGGUUGUAAAGCACUUUCAGUGAGGAAGAACGCCUGGUGGUUAAUACCCAUCAGGAAAGACAUCACUCACAGAAGAAGCACCGGCUAACUCCGUGCCAGCAGCCGCGGUAAUACGGAGGGUGCGAGCGUUAAUCGGAAUUACUGGGCGUAAAGCGCGCGUAGGUGGCUUGAUAAGCCGGUUGUGAAAGCCCCGGGCUCAACCUGGGAACGGCAUCCGGAACUGUCAAGCUAGAGUGCAGGAGAGGAAGGUAGAAUUCCCGGUGUAGCGGUGAAAUGCGUAGAGAUCGGGAGGAAUACCAGUGGCGAAGGCGGCCUUCUGGACUGACACUGACACUGAGGUGCGAAAGCGUGGGUAGCAAACAGGAUUAGAUACCCGAGUAGUC
rnacentral:rRNA from 1 species